rnacentral:rRNA from 1 species
UACGGGGGGGGGCAAGCGUUGUUCGGAAUUACUGGGCGUAAAGGGCUCGUAGGCGGCCAACUAAGUCAGACGUGAAAUCCCUAGGCUCAACCUAGGAACUGCGUCUGAUACUGGAUGGCUUGAAUCCGGGAGAGGGAUGCAGAAUUCCAGGUGUAGCGGUGAAAUGCGUAGAUAUCUGGAGGAACACCAACGGCGAAGGCAGCUCGCUGGGACGGUACUGACACUAAGGCGCGAAAAGCGUGGGGAGCGAACAGG